UACGAAGGUGGCAAGCGUUACUCGGAAUUACUAGGCGUAAAGGGCAGGUAGGUGGUCUGAUAAGUCUGUUGUGUAAGCUCCCGGCUUAACUGGGAGAGGUCAACAGAUACUGUCAGGCUUGAGUAUAGGAGAGGUUACUGGAAUUCCCGGUGUAGCGGUGAAAUGCGCAGAUAUCGGGAGGAACACCAAUGGCGAAAGCAGGUAACUGGACUAUUACUGACACUCAGCUGCGAAAGCUAGGGGAGCAAAC
rnacentral:rRNA from 1 species